AGUGAACGCUGGCGGUAGGCCUAACACAUGCAAGUCGAACGGCAGCACAGUAAGAGCUUGCUCUUACGGGUGGCGAGUGGCGGACGGGUGAGGAAUACAUCGGAAUCUACUUUUUCGUGGGGGAUAACGUAGGGAAACUUACGCUAAUACCGCAUACGACCUACGGGUGAAAGCAGGGGAUCUUCGGACCUUGCGCGAUUGAAUGAGCCGAUGUCGGAUUAGCUAGUUGGCGGGGUAAAGGCCCACCAAGGCGACGAUCCGUAGCUGGUCUGAGAGGAUGAUCAGCCACACUGGAACUGAGACACGGUCCAUACUCCUACGAGAGGCAGCAGUGGGGAAUAUUGGACAAUGGGCGGAAGCCUGAUCCAGCCAUACCGCGUGGGUGAAGAAGGCCUUCGGGUUGUAAAGCCCUUUUGUUGGGAAAGAAAAGCAGCAGGUUAAUACGACGCUGUUCUGACGGUACCCAAAGAAUAAGCACCGGCUAACUUCGUG
rnacentral:rRNA from 1 species